UGAGGAGAUCUAGACUUCUGGUCAUUCGUCCGGCGCGCGGAGGCCUUACAGCUCUCAGGUUCCUCCUAACUUUGGAGACUGUGAGUAUUUGGAGUUUUGGAGGCUCCUCAGGUCAUCUUCCUCAACCGGGCGCCAGUGCACCUCGCACAUGAACAACAAUGGCCACACCCAUUUAGGUAAAGCUAUUGUCGGCUCCUCUCCUCUCCCAGGGGCAUUAUAUGUUCAUGGGAUCAUUCUGUUCGAUGCCACUUCAAGGCUGACUUACAAGAAUUCUCCUACUUGGCGUAGAGACUUGUGUAGGGUGUGUGAGAACAUCCACAUUGUUCCCGGUGAGAGCAAGGUUGAUGUGAAAAAGAGGCAGGUUAAAGCCAAAAAAACUCACAUUCCACAUGAUGGAGAACCUGCAGUACUAUGAAAUCUCUGCCAAGCCCAAGAGCAACUACAACUUUGAGAAUCCCUUCCUUUACCUCGCAAGGAAGUUUGCCGGGAAAUUUUCUUCACUCCUCAAUGGUUCCAAUAACUUCCAGAGGGAGCUCGGCUUGUGAUUCCGUUCCACCGUCCGAAGCAAGGAGGGGUCAUCUUCCAGACCAGCGGGAGAUAGGCCAAGUGCUGCUUUGAGGCUGUGUCGUGAUUGCAACCCACCUGGGAGAAGUAGGGCGAAUCAGGCAUUUUAUCGAUCAUGU